AUAGAGAGCUUGCUCUCUGAUGGCGAGUGGCGAACGGGUGAGUAAUAUAUCGGAACGUGCCCAGUAAUGGGGAAUAACUAGCCGAAAGGUUAGCUAAUACCGCAUACGACCUACGGGUGAAAGCAGGGGAUCUUAGGACCUUGCGUUAUUGGAGCGGUCGAUAUCUGAUUAGCUUGUUGGUGGGGUAAAAGCCUACCAAGGCAACGAUCAGUAGCUGGUCUGAGAGGACGAUCAGCCACACUGGAACUGAGACACGGUCCAGACUCCUACGGGAGGCAGCAGUGGGGAAUUUUGGACAAUGGGGGAAACCCUGAUCCAGCCAUCCCGCGUGAGUGAAGAAGGCCUUCGGGUUGUAAAGCACUUUCAAUAGGGAGGAAAGGUUAUGCGUUAAUACCGUAUAGCUGUGACGUCACCUAUAGAAGAAGCACCGGCUAACUCCGUGCCAGCAGCCGCGGUAAUACGGAGGGUGCAAGCGUUAAUCGGAAUUACUGGGCGUAAAGCGCGCGUAGGCGGUUAUUUAAGUCAGAUGUGAAAGCCCCGGGCUCAACCUGGGAAUUGCAUUUGAUACUGGAUAGCUAGAGUGUGGUAGAGGUGAGUGGAAUUUCAGGUGUAGCGGUGAAAUGCGUAGAGAUCUGAAGGAACAUCAGUGGCGAAGGCGACUCACUGGGCCAUUACUGACGCUGA
rnacentral:rRNA from 1 species